UCGUGGAGUGAUUUGUCUGCUUAAUUGCGUUUCACAAGAGGAUUUAAACCUACUUGUUUUGGCUUGGUGAGUGCGUUUCUGCAGUCUCCGGAUUGUGUCGCCUCCCAACCGACUUGAAGGCUCCAUGCCUCGAAGGCAACGAACGUGACCGCAUCCCAUUGUUGCCUCUCCGUUGCUUUGGUGUUGUGUUAAAGCUUCACCAGCAACGCUGGACAGCAUUGUGUG
rnacentral:rRNA from 1 species